rnacentral:rRNA from 1 species
GUGANGAUAUUGCACAAUGGGGGCAACCCUGCUGCAGCAACGCCGCGUGAGCGAAGAAGGCCUUCGGGUUGUAAAGCUCUUUUCUGGGGGAUGAGGAAGGACAGUACCCCAGGAACAAGUCUCGGCUAACUACGUGCCAGCAGCCGCGGUAAAACGUAGGAGGCGAGCGUUAUCCGGAUUUAUUGGGCNGUAUAGGGCAAGUAGGCAGGUAUAUCAAGUCGGGCGUGACAGGCCUCGGCUCAACCGAGGAGGGUCGUUCGAGACUGAUAUACUAGAGUGCAGGAGAGGAAGACGGAACUCCUAGUGUAGCGGUGAAAUGCUUAGAUAUUAGGAAGAACACCAGUGGCGAAAGCGGUUUUCUGGCCUGCAACUGACGCUAAGAGGCGAAAGCUAGGGGAGCGAACGGGCUUAGAUAUCCCGGUAGUCCUAGCUGUAAACGAUGGAUACUGGAUAUUGGGGGCAUAAAAGCCCUCAGUGACGAAGCAAACGCGUUAAGUAUCCCGCCUGGGAAUUACGGCCGCAAGGUUAAAACUCAAAGGAAUUGACGGGGGCCCGCACAAGCAGCGGAGCGUGUGGUUUAAUUCGAAGCACACGAAGAACCUUACCUGGGCUUGACAUGUACAUAGNANGGAAGCGAAAGCGGACCGACCCUU